rnacentral:rRNA from 1 species
GACGAACGCUGGCGGCGUGCUUAACACAUGCAAGUCGAACGGUGAAGCGCCUUCCUUUUUGGUGGGUGUGGAUGAGUGGCGAACGGGUGAGUAACACGUGAGUAACCUGCCCCCUUCUUCUGGAUAACCGCAUGAAAGUGUGGCUAAUACGGGAUAUUCUGGGUCUGUCGCAUGAUGGGUCUGGGAAAGAUAUUGUUUCGGUGGGGGAUGGGCUCGCGGCCUAUCAGCUUGUUGGUGGGGUGAUGGCCUACCAAGGCGGUGACGGGUAGCCGGCCUGCGAGGGUGGACGGUCACACUGGGACUGAGACACGGCCCAGACUCCUACGGGAGGCAGCAGUGGGGAAUAUUGCACAAUGGGCGCAAGCCUGAUGCAGCGACGCCGCGUGAGGGAUGGAGGCCUUCGGGUUGUGAACCUCUUUCGCCAGUGAAGCAGGCCUGCCUCGUUUGUGGGUGGGUUGACGGUAGCUGGAGAAGAAGCGCCGGCUAACUACGUG